UGGAGGCAGCAGUGGGGAAUAUUGGACAAUGGGCGCAAGCCUGAUCCAGCAAUGCCGCGUGAGUGAGGAAGGCCUUAGGGUUGUAAAGCUCUUUCGGCGGGGACGAUGAUGACGGUACCCGCAGAAGAAGCCCCGGCUAACUUCGUGCCAGCAGCCGCGGUAAUACGAAGGGGGCGAGCGUUGUUCGGAUUUACUGGGCGUAAAGGGCGCGCAGGCGGCCAGAUUUGUCAGGCGUGAAAGCCCCGGGCUUAACCUGGGAGGUGCGCUUGGGACGGUUUGGCUGGAGAUCGGGAGAGGAGCGUGGAAUUCCCAGUGUAGAGGUGAAAUUCGUAGAUAUUGGGAAGAACACCGGUGGCGAAGGCGGCGCUCUGGACCGAGACUGACGCUGAGGCGCGAAAGCGUGGGGAGCAAACAGGAUUAGAUACCCCGGUAGC
rnacentral:rRNA from 1 species